rnacentral:rRNA from 1 species
AGGGUGUAAACGCUGCAGACUUGGUGUUGGAGGCCCUUUGGGGGCAUUCAGUGCCGGAGAGAAGUUGUUAAGUCUGCUACUUGGGGAGUACGUCCGCAAGGAUGAAACUUAAAGGAAUUGGCGGGGGGAGCACCGCAACGGGAGGAGCGUGCGGUUUAAUUGGAUUCAACACCGUAAAACUCACCAGGGAAGACUGUUACAUGAAGGCCGAGAUGAAGACUCUGCUAGAUUUUUCAGAGAGGAGGUGGCAUGGCGUCAGUGACU